GGGGAUAAAUUAAUAAUGGGGGUUAUUAAUAAAAAAAAUUUUAUUUGAGUGGUAUUUUAUUUGUAGUAGAUUAAAUUGAAUAAAUUAAAAAAUUUAUAGUUAAUUAGUAUUGUGAAAGAAUUUUGAAAAUAUUUGAAAAUGAAUUUAUUAAAAAGUAAUUUUAAUUUAGUGUAUCUUGUGUAUCAGAGUUUAUUAAUAAAAAAAUAGGGGGGGUUAUUUUUUUCGAAUUUAAAAGAGAUAAUUAAUUAUAAAAGUUAUUGUAGAAUAAAUAUUUUAAAUAAUUAAUUUGAAAUGAAAUGUUAUUCGUUUUUAAAUAUAUCUAAUUUUUUUAGAAAAAAAUUUAAUUUUAAAUUAAUUUAAUAAUAAAAUUAAUUUUUUAAUUUAUUAUUAAAUUAAUUUUAUAUUUUAAGGGAUAAGCUUUAAAUUAGAUUUUUAUAAUUUAAAUUUGAUUCAAAAUUUAAAAUUUUUAUUAUUUAUAUUGUAAGUAAAUUUUAUUUUAUUAUAAAUAAUUUUAUUUUAUUUUAAAAUUUAAAAAUUAAAUUUAAUUUUUUAUAAAAGAAUAUUUUUUAAUAAAAAAAAAUUUAGAUAUAAUGAUGAAAUUAGUAUAUAAAUGUUUAUUUAAUUUAAUAAUUAAUAAAUUUAUGAUUAGUAGAUUUAAGGAAUUCGGCAAAUUUUUAUAUCCACUUGUUUAUCAAAAACAUGUCUUUUUGAUAAAUAAUUUAAAGUCUAAUCUGCCCACUGAUAUAAAUUAAAGGGCUGCAGUAUUUUGACUGUACAAAGGUAGCAUAAUCAUUAGUCUCUUAAUUGGUGACUUGUAUGAAAGAUUGGAUGAGAUAUGGACUGUCUUGAUUUUAUUUUAUAGAAUUUAAUUUUUUAAUUAAAAAGUUAAAAUAUAUUAAAAAGACGAGAAGACCCUAUAGAGUUUAAUAAAUUAGAUUAAUUAAAAAUAUUUAUAAAUAAAAUUAUUUGAAAUUUUUAUAUUUAUUUGGUUGGGGUGAUUAAAAAAUUUAAUUAACUUUUUUUAUGUAUUUAACAUUGAUAGAUGAAUUAUAGAUCCAUUGUUUAAUGAUUAAAAGAAAAAAUUACCUUAGGGAUAACAGCGUAAUUUUUUUUUUUAGUUCAUAUAAAAAGGAAAGUUUGCGACCUCGAUGUUGGAUUAAGAUAAAAUUUAAAUGUAAAAGUUUAAGUAUUUUGAUCUGUUCGAUCAUUAAAAUCUUACAUGAUCUGAGUUCAAACCGGUGUGAGCCAGGUUGGUUUCUAUCUUUUAAAUAUAUUAAUAUUUUAGUACGAAAGGAUCAAAUAUUAGAAUUAGAUUUAUAUUAUUAUUAUGAAUUUUAUUAAUUUUUUUUUUAAUACAUAUAUUUAUAUAUGUAUAUAUUAAAGUAUUUAUAAAUAAAAUUAAGUUAGAGAUAAAUGAAAAGUUAAGGGAUUUAUUUUUAUUUUAGCUUUUUAACUUAUUUAUUUGUUAUUUUAUAAUUAAUUAAUAUUUUAUAAUUAAUGAGUUAAGUGGUGUU
rnacentral:rRNA from 1 species